GUUCCAACCACCCCGGUCACUGUAGCCUUACCUCUGUCACUAUGCAUCCUUACCUCUCUCACUGUGGCGUACUGCCUCACAGUAGAAAGGGAAUGAGGGAGGUUAAUCAGCACCACUAUUUGAGGUCAUUUCCCACUGUUGACAGGAUGUGCAGCAGUGCCGGCGAUCCGACCCCCGCGACCCCUACAGGGCUCGGUAACCCUCUACA
rnacentral:lncRNA from 1 species